rnacentral:rRNA from 1 species
UACAGAGGUGGCAAGCGUUGUUCGGAAUUACUGGGCGUAAAGGGCGCGUAGGCGGUUCGGUAAGUCCUGUGUGAAAUCCCUCGGCUCAACUGAGGAACUGCACGGGAGACUGCCGGGCUUGAGUUCGGGAGAGGGAAGCGGAAUUCCGGGUGUAGCGGUGAAAUGCGUAGAUAUCCGGAGGAACACCGGUGGCGAAGGCGGCUUCCUGGACCGACACUGACGCUUAGGCGCGAAAGCUAGGGGAGCAAACGGG